rnacentral:rRNA from 1 species
UACGUAGGCAGCAAGCGUUGUUCGGGAGUUACUGGCGUAAAGAGUAUGUAGGCGGUGUCCUAAGUUCGGUGUGAAAUCUCCCGGCUCAACUGGGAGGGUGCGCCGAAGACUGGGAUGCUGGAGUCUCGGAGAGGAACGCGGAAUUCCUGGUGUAGCGGUGAAAUGCGUAGAUAUCAGGAGGAACACCUGUGGUGUAGACGGCUUUCUGGACCAUAGCUGACGGCUGAGACACGAAAGCGUGGGUAGCAAACAGG